CGAAAUGCGAUAAGUAGUGUGAAUUGCAGAAUUCAGUGAAUCAUCAAAUCUUUGAACGCACAUUGCGCCCCUUGGUAUUCCAUGGGGCAUGCCUGUUCGAGCGUCAUUUGUACCCUCAAGCUCUGCUUGGUGUUGGGUGUUUGUCCCGUCUCCGCGCGUGGACUCGCCCCAAAGUGAUUGGCAGCCGGCGUACUGGUCCCGGAGCGCAGCACAUGUCGCGCAAACGAGUGCCUUGGUACGGCGGCGUCCAUAAGCCCCUCUCUCACGCUCUUGACCUCGGAUCAGGUAGGGAUACCCGCUGAACUUAAGC
rnacentral:misc_RNA from 1 species